GGGGGCGAUUCGGCUUCGAUUUGGUCAUCCGUGCGAUCAGGUUGCAGGUCGAGGUUCCCGGAGGCCUCGUUAAACACCGGGACCAACCAAUACGUGCGGACCAUGAGUUCGCCCUCGCCGCUUAGUCAAUAGCUGAGCGGCAGGAGUCGGCCCUCCGUCGCCCGAGCAGAGGGAUCCCGGCUUCAGAAUCGGGCUCACCCAGGUGGCAUGUCCCGGCCGUCAGGGGAAAUCAAAGGGACUCGGCCCCGAGAGAUCUCCCGCCGGCAGCGGAACUCCCGGGGCGAGAACAAAGCGCCGGCUAUGCCUGUAGACGCCGAUCGUUUCGUGACCGAAGACGUGGGUUCAAUUCCCACCGCCUCCAUUC
rnacentral:tmRNA from 1 species